rnacentral:rRNA from 1 species
CAGCCGCCGCGGGAAUACGUAGGUGGCAAGCGUUGUCCGGAAUUAUUGGGCGUAAAGGGCUCGCAGGCGGUUUCUUAAGUCUGAUGUGAAAGCCCCCGGCUCAACCGGGGAGGGUCAUUGGAAACUGGGAAACUUGAGUGCAGAAGAGGAGAGUGGAAUUCCACGUGUAGCGGUGAAAUGCGUAGAGAUGUGGAGGAACACCAGUGGCGAAGGCGACUCUCUGAUCUGUAACUGACGCUGAGGGGCGAAAGCGUGGGGAGCGAACAGGAUUAGAUACCCCUGUAGUCCCUGUCUCUUAUAC